UACGGAGGGAGCUAGCGUUGUUCGGAAUUACUGGGCGUAAAGCGCACGUAGGCGGCGAUUCAAGUCAGAGGUGAAAGCCCGGGGCUCAACCCCGGAACUGCCUUUGAAACUAGAUUGCUAGAAUCCUGGAGAGGUGAGUGGAAUUCCGAGUGUAGAGGUGAGAUUCGUAGAUAUUCGGAAGAACACCAGUGGCGAAGGCGACUCACUGGACAGGUAUUGACGCUGAGGUGCGAAAGCGUGGGGAGCAAACAGG
rnacentral:rRNA from 1 species